GCUCUCGUCUUUGGACGUUGGACUCAGACUCAGAGCUUCAAAUUCCAAAACUUACCCUCUGUGAUUUCGUCAUCAAACGAAUAAUAAGUACAGUAGUUAUAUAACCACUUUAGUCAAGAUCCCUUGUUCCUCAAUUAAUCCCAAAAAGAUAUAAUAAUGGCGAAUCGAUCGGGCGAAGCGGAGCACGAGACUGCUUCUCGGCGAAAUCAACAAGACAAGAGCAAAGCAGGGAUUUUGGAUCUGCUGUUGAAGCGGCCUCUACGGUGGCUAAGAAUGCUCAUUGAGGAGCUUCACUGGAGCUUCUUCUUCGGUGUUAUUAUCGUCUAUGGUGUUAGCCAAGGCCUUGGUAAAGGUCUCAGCAAAGUCAGCACUCAGUACUACUUUAAAGACGAGCAGAAGAUACAACCCUCUCAAGCUCAGAUUUACGUUGGUCUCAUUCAGAUUCCUUGGAUCAUUAAGCCUCUCUGGGGACUAUUGACUGAUGUUGUCCCUGUUUUCGGUUAUAGGAGACGACCCUAUUUCAUAUUCGCCGGUUUCCUUGCUAUGAUCUCCAUGAUGGUGUUAUGGCUACACACGAAUCUGCAUCUUGCACUGGCUUUGUCCUGUCUUGUGGCAGGAAGUGCUGGAGUUGCUAUAGCAGAUGUAACCAUUGAUGCUUGUGUAACCCAAUGUAGCAUAAGCCAUCCUACGCUUGCUGCAGAUAUGCAAAGUUUGUGUGGUUUAAGCUCUUCGAUUGGAUCCUUGGUUGGCUUCUCCCUUAGCGGCGUUUUGGUGCACUUGUUUGGGUCCAAGGGUGUGUAUGGUUUACUUGGUUUGACUGCAGGGUUGGUUGUUGUGGUGGGAAUGGUUCUGAAAGAAUCUCCUUCUCGCAGCUUAGGUCGCAAGCAUGCGAACGAGAAGUUUCUCGAUGCUGGAAGCGCAAUAUGGAAAACCUUUCAAUAUGGUGAGGUGUGGCGACCAUGCUUGUUCAUGCUAUUGUCAGCUGCAGUGAGCUUGCACAUUCAUGAAGGCAUGUUCUAUUGGUACACAGAUUCAAAGGAUGGCCCUUCCUUUUCAAAGGAAGCUGUUGGAUCCAUUAUGUCGUUUGGUGCAAUUGGCUCUCUUGUGGGCAUACUUCUCUAUCAGAACUUUCUGAAGAACUUCCCUUUCCGGAAUGUCGUCUUCUGGGCACUUUCCCUAUCUGUCCUGUCUGGAUUUCUGGAUUUGAUCCUGGUGCUGCGCAUAAAUCUGAAGCUUGGUCUCCCUGAUUACUUCUUCAUUGUGGUAGACGAGUUAGUCUCACAUAUGAUAAGUAGGAUCAAGUGGUUACCCUUACUUGUUCUGAGUUCCAAGCUCUGCCCUGCCGGUAUGGAAGGAACUUUCUUUGCUUUGCUUAUGUCGAUUGAACACGUAGGACACCUAGCGUCGUCAUGGGGAGGAGGAGUAUUACUCCAUGCCCUGAAAGUUACGCGUACUCAGUUUGAUAAUCUCUGGUUGGCUAUUGUAAUCAGGAGUUUAUUAAGAGUAAUUCCAAUCGGAUUGGUAUUUUUGAUACCAAAUGUUGAUUCAAACUCAACCAUUCUCCCAGCUGAGAUGUUAACAAACAGAAGAAGUGAAGGUGUUGAUACCGAGAAGAUAGAGAUGACUGCUUUGAUCGGUGAUGAAGCUUGAGUUGAAUCAUUUUUGUUUUCAGGUACAGGAACAUCAUAUUCUAGAGAAAACCUACAUGAACAUUAGACUUGCCAAGGCCAAGCAAACCAGAGACGCGUCAGGCUUGACAAAGUAGAACACACCAGUGACAUCCACUUCGAGCUCAGUGUUACCUUCG